rnacentral:tRNA from 1 species
GGUAAAGUGGCAGAGCUUGGCUUAUCGCAGUCGCCUGGAAAGCGGCCAGGUUAGGUAAUCCCUAGCCUCGGAGGUUCAAAUCCUCUCUUUACCGCCA